GAUUGAAGGGGGCUGCUCCUAGUACGAGAGGACCGGAGUGGACGAACCUCUGGUGUUCGGGUUGUGUCGCCAGACGCAUUGCCCGGUAGCUAAGUUCGGGAUCGAUAACCGCUGAAAGCAUCUAAGCGGGAAGCGAGCCUUGAGAUGAGUCUUCCCUGAUACUUUAAGUAUCCUAAAGGGUUGUUCGAGACUAGAACGUUGAUAGGCAGGGUGUGUAAGCGUUGUGAGGCGUUGAGCUAACCUGUACUAAUUGCCCGUGAGGCUUAACCAU
rnacentral:rRNA from 1 species